CAGUCGCCGCGGUAAUACGAAGGGUGCAAGCGUUAAUCGGAAUUACUGGGCGUAAAGCGUGCGUAGGCGGUGAGUUAAGUCUGCUGUGAAAUCCCCGGGCUCAACCUGGGAAUGGCAGUGGAUACUGGCUCGCUAGAGUGUGUCAGAGGAUGGUGGAAUUCCCGGUGUAGCGGUGAAAUGCGUAGAGAUCGGGAGGAACAUCAGUGGCGAAGGCGGCCAUCUGGGACAACACUGACGCUGAGGCACGAAAGCGUGGGGAGCAAACAGGAUUAGAUACCCCGGUAGUCCCUGUCUCUUAUAA
rnacentral:rRNA from 1 species